AGAGUUUGAUCAUGGCUCAGAUUGAACGCUGGCGGAAUGCUUUACACAUGCAAGUCGAACGGCAGCACGGGGCUACCUGGUGGCGAGUGGCGAACGGGUGAGUAAUACAUCGGAACGUGCCCAAUCGUGGGGAUAACGUAGCGAAAGUUACGCUAAUACCGCAUACGAUCUACGGAUGAAAGCGGGGGAUCGCAAGACCUCGCGCGAAUGGAGCGGCCGAUGUCAGAUUAGGUAGUUGGUGGGGUAAAGGCUCACCAAGCCAACGAUCUGUAGCUGGUCUGAGAGGACGACCAGCCACACUGGAACUGAGACACGGUCCAGACUCCUACGGGAGGCAGCAGUGGGGAAUUUUGGACAAUGGGCGCAAGCCUGAUCCAGCCAUUCCGCGUGCAGGAUGAAGGCCUUCGGGUUGUAAACUGCUUUUGUACGGAACGAAAAGGUCCUGGUUAAUACCUGGGGCUCAUGACGGUACCGUAAGAAUAAGCACCGGCUAACUACGUG
rnacentral:rRNA from 1 species